GACAGAGGGUGCAAACGUUGUUCGGAAUUACUGGGCGUAAAGCGCGUGUAGGCGGCUAUGCAAGUCGGAUGUGAAAGCCCUCGGCUCAACCGGGGAAGUGCACCCGAAACUGCAAAGCUAGAGUCUCGGAGAGGAUCGUGGAAUUCUCGGUGUAGAGGUGAAAUUCGUAGAUAUCGAGAGGAACACCGGUGGCGGAGGCGGCGAUCUGGACGAUGACUGACGCUGAGACGCGAAAGCGUGGGAAGCAAACAGG
rnacentral:rRNA from 1 species